rnacentral:rRNA from 1 species
CCAGUCUAAAAGGAAAAACUAAACCAGGAUUCUCCCAGUAACGGCGAGUGAACGGAGAUUAGCCCAUCACCGAAGCCUAUUCAAGGGUGGACAAGGCAAUGUGGUGUUCGGGCGUGCACCUGGGGACGCUGGCCUACUCGAAGUCCAACUCCGAUUAUGGCUCGUACAACGCCCAGAGCGGGUGAAAGGCCCGUGCGGGUAGGUGGUGAUUCUAUGGCGCUCCUCAGAUGUGCAUGCUCUCGAGUCGGAUUGCUUGAGAAUGCAGUCCAAAGUGGGUGGUAAACUCCAUCCAAGGCUAAAUACUGGCGCGAGUCCGAUAGUAGACAAGUACCGUGAGGGAAAGUUGAAAAGUACUCUGAAGAGAGA